rnacentral:lncRNA from 1 species
AAAAAAUUUUAAGUUACUGGACCAUGACAAUCGAUUGUCAAAACCAGACAAUCGAUUGUUGUGGUUUUAUGAAAUUUUUUUAUGUUACUGGACCAUAACAAUUAACAUUCACUGAAACUUAAGAGAGUUGAAACGUUUUAACCUUACUGGACAAAAACAAUCGAUUGUAAACAAUAGACAAUCGAUUAUCUUUGGCUUUAAAAAA